GUGCUAAGGAAUUAGUGGGAGGGGGGAUUCUUUAAAGGUCUAGAAAGGGAAGGAUUCCAGGUGGAGGGUCAUGUCAUAAGACUUAGAUUAAUAUCACAAAAAGCAUUUGUUGAUCUAAACUGAUGACUGAAAGGGAAAUGCUCCCCUUGGCCUUCCAGUUACGGAAGUGUGAGACAGAGCACAGACAGCGGGGGAUUGAUUGGUCAGAAUGUAAAGAGGGAAAGUGCAUCAGUUCCAACUGUGGGAUGCCAUAUAGAGGGCCCAGCACAUGCAAUGAAGCUGCAAAUGGAGGUUUUUCUGGAUGGGCCACUGCAUAGAAUUUAUGAGCAGCAAUAUAUGUCUUAUGAGCAUACAAGAAUACUUGCCAUAAAAGCAAAUCAGAAGGUUAUAAUCUAGUGUAAAAUUAUCCUCAGGGAGACAGGAGAGUGGGAUACAUUGGCAGAGGUAUUCAGAGGCAAAGGCAUAAAUAAGAGGGAAAAGACCUUGUAUUAGUUCAUUUUUGUCACUAUAAUAAAAUACAUGAAGCUGGGGAACAUUAUAGACAAAAGACUUUCAUUUAGCUCACAGUUUUGGAGGCUAAAAGUGCAAGAUGAGGUGGCCCCGUUGGUUUGGCUUCUGGUGAGGCCCCAGCAGCUGAUGCUAUCAGGGCAAGAGCAUAGUCCUCACAUGUGUGGGAAACCAGAGCACCUUAAAAGGUGGGGCCUCAUGAGAGAUCAUCAGGUCACUAGGGGCAUGCCAUUGUCCCUUUUUAACGGAACCCUGGCCCCUUCCUCUUUCUCUUCUUUGCUUCUGGCCAUGGGUUGAGUGGUUUUAUUCCACCUCAUGCUCCUGCCGUGAUGCGCUUCCUCACCACAGGCCCAAGGCAAUGGCAUCAACUGACCAUGGACUGAAUCCUUCAAAACUGUGAGCCAAAAGAAACCUUUUCU
rnacentral:lncRNA from 1 species